rnacentral:tRNA from 1 species
GCCGACUUAACUCAAUUAGGUAGAGUAACUGAAUCGUAAUCAGUAGGUUGCAGGUUCAAUUCCUGUAGUCGGCACCA